GAUAAACGCUGGCGGCGUGCAUGAGGCAUGCAAGUCGAACGAAGGAUCGGGCUUGCUCGAUCCUUAGUGGCGGACGGCUGAGUAACGCGUAGGUGACCUACCCCGAAGUGGGGAAUAACUGCCCGAAAGGGUGGCUAAUACCGCAUGUGGUCGCACGUUCAUUCGUGCGAGUAAAGCCGCAAGGCGCUUCGGGAGGGGCCUGCGUCCGAUUAGCUCGUUGGUGGGGUAAUGGCUUACCAAGGCGACGAUCGGUAGGUGGUCUGAGAGGACGAUCACCCAGACUGGGACUGAGACACGGCCCAGACUCCUACGGGAGGCAGCAGUCGGGAAUUUUGCUCAAUGGGGGAAACCCUGAAGCAGCAACGCCGCGUGAGGGAUGAAGGCCUUCGGGUUGUAAACCUCUUUUGUCAGGGACGAUGAUGACGGUACCUGGCGAAUAAGCCACGGCUAACUACGUG
rnacentral:rRNA from 1 species